CCUACGGGAGGCAGCAGUGAGGAAUAUUGGUCAAUGGACGAAAGUCUGAACCAGCCAAGCAGCGUGAAGGAUGACUACCCUAUGGGUUGUAAACUUCUUUUAUAUGGGAAUAAAACAGGGUAUGCAUACCCUCUUGUAUGUACCAUAUGAAUAAGGAUCGGCUAACUCCGUGCCAGCAGCCGCGGUAAUACGGAGGAUCCGAGCGUUAUCCGGAUUUAUUGGGUUUAAAGGGUGCGUAGGUGGAUUGUUAAGUCAGUUGUGAAAGUUUGCGGCUCAACCGUAAAAUUGCAGUUGAAACUGGCAGUCUUGAGUACAGUAGAGGUGGGCGGAAUUCGUGGUGUAGCGGUGAAAUGCUUAGAUAUCACGAAGAACUCCGAUUGCGAAGGCAGCUCACUGGACUGCAACUGACACUGAUGCACGAAAGUGUGGGUAUCGAACAGGAUUAGAUACCCCUGUAGUC
rnacentral:rRNA from 1 species